UACAGAGGGGGCAAGCGUUGUUCGGAAUUACUGGGCGUAAAGGGCGCGUAGGCGGCCCGCUAAGUCGAACGUGAAAUCCCCGAGCUCAACUCGGGAACUGCGUCCGAUACUGGCGGGCUUGAAUCCGGGAGAGGGAUGCGGAAUUCCAGGUGUAGCGGUGAAAUGCGUAGAUAUCUGGAGGAACACCGGUGGCGAAGGCGACGUCCUGGACCGGCAUUGACGCUGAGGCGCGAAAGCCAGGGGAGCAAACGGG
rnacentral:rRNA from 1 species